UUCCAAUGUUUCUACAGGCAGAAAUGCCCC
rnacentral:piRNA from 1 species